GACGAACGCUGGCGGCGUGCUUAACACAUGCAAGUCGAACGGUAAGGCCUUCGGGUACACGAGUGGCGAACGGGUGAGUAACACGUGGGUGAUCUGCCCCCUACUCUGGGAUAAGCCUGGGAAACGGGGUCUAAUACUGGAUAUGACCUCCUUCUGCAUGGUUGGGGGUGGAAAGUUUUUUCGGUAGGGGAUGAGCCCGCGGCCUAUCAGCUUGUGGGUGGGGUAAUGGCCUACCAAGGCGACGACGGGUAGCCGGCCUGAGAGGGCGACCGGCCACACUGGGACUGAGACACGGCCCAGACUCCUACGGGAGGCAGCAGUGGGGAAUAUUGCACAAUGGGCGAAAGCCUGAUGCAGCGACGCCGCGUGGGGGAUGACGGCCUUCGGGUUGUAAACCCCUUUCAGUCGGGACGAAGCGUGAGUGACGGUACCGAUAGAAGAAGCACCGGCCAACUACGUGCCAGCAGCCGCGGUAAUAC
rnacentral:rRNA from 1 species